AUAACCUGGGAAUCUUGUUAAAAUGUAGAUAUUGGUGCAGGAGGUUUGGGGAGAACCUGAUAUUUUGCAUUUCUAACAAAUUCCCAUGUGAUGCC
rnacentral:pre_miRNA from 1 species